UGGGGAAUCUUGCACAAUGCGCGAAAGCGUGAUGCAGCAACGCCGCGUGCGGGAAGAAGGCCUUAGGGUUGUAAACCGCUUUCAGUUGGGACGAAGCUUCGCGGGUUAAUAGCUCAUUGGAGUGACGGUACCUUCAGAAGAAGCGCCGGCUAACUACGUGCCAGCAGCCGCGGUAAUACGUAGGGCGCAAGCGUUGUCCGGAAUCAUUGGGCGUAAAGCGCGUGUAGGCGGCUGAGUAAGUCUGCUGUGAAAGUCCAGGGCUCAACCCUGGGAUGCCGCAGAUACUGCUUGGCUAGAGUACGGGAGGGGCGAGUGGAAUUCCUGGUGUAGCGGUGGAAUGCGCAGAUAUCAGGAGGAACACCUAUGGCGAAGGCAGCUCGCUGGAACGUUACUGACGCUGAGACGCGAAAGCGUGGGGAGCAAACAGG
rnacentral:rRNA from 1 species